UACGAAGGGGGCUAGCGUUGCUCGGAAUCACUGGGCGUAAAGCGCACGUAGGCGGACUCGCAGGUCAAUUGUGAAAUACCUGGGCUCAACCCGGGAACUGCAGUUGAAACCGCUUGUCUUGAAUACCUGAGAGGGUGGGGGAAUACCUGGUGGAGAAGUGAAAUUCGUAGAGAUCAGGUGGAACACCGGAGGCGAAGGCGCCUGCCUGGCAGUGUAUUGACGCUGAGGUGCGAAAGUGCGGGGAGCAAACAGG
rnacentral:rRNA from 1 species